UGCUAAUUAAAUAGACUACCGUAGACAGUAGGUGCUUACGCUUAAUAUCCUACCGAGGUGUAUAACUGAUAAAUUCGUGCAUAUACAACCUCCAUGUCUUUUUUUAAAAAGUUCGUGGAGGUUUUGCUAUGGUUAC
rfam:Bacillus sp. FJAT-25509 Contig3, whole genome shotgun sequence.